UGCCAGCCGCCGCGGUAAUACGGAGGGUGCAAGCGUUAAUCGGAAUUACUGGGCGUAAAGCGCGCGUAGGCGGCUGUUUAAGUCGGGUGUGAAAGCCCCGGGCUCAACCUGGGAACUGCAUUCGAUACUGGACAGCUCGAGUACGAGAGAGGGUGGUAGAAUUUCUAGUGUAGCGGUGAAAUGCGUAGAUAUUAGAAGGAAUACCAGUGGCGAAGGCGGCCACCUGGCUCGAUACUGACGCUGAGGUGCGAAAGCGUGGGGAGCAAACAGGAUUAGAUA
rnacentral:rRNA from 1 species